rnacentral:rRNA from 1 species
GACGAACGCUGGCGGCGUGCCUAAUACAUGCAAGUCGAACGCAGUGGGGACGGGUGAGUAACACGUGGGUAACCUCCCAUCAGAGGGGAUAACACUUGGAAACAGGUGCUAAACCGAUACUGAUGGAUGGACCCGCGGUGCAUUAGCUAGUUGGUGAGGUAACGGCUCACCAAGGCCACGAUUCAUAGCCGGCCUGAGAGGGUGAUCGGCAACACUGGGACUGAGACACGGCCCAGACUCAUACGUGAGGCAGCAGUGGGGAAUCUUCGGCAAUGGGCGAAAGCCGGACCGAGCAACGCCGCGUGAGUGAAGAAGGUUUUCGGAUUGUAAAGUUCUUUUAUUGGAGAGGCGGUAUCUAAAGAAGAAGCCACGGCUAACUACGUGCCAGCAGCCGCGGUAAUUG